rnacentral:rRNA from 1 species
AGAGACAGCAGCAGCCGCGGGAAUACAGAGGGUGCGAGCGUUAAUCGGAUUUACUGGGCGUAAAGCGUGCGUAGGCGGCUUCUUAAGUCGGAUGUGAAAUCCCUGAGCUUAACUUAGGAAUUGCAUUCGAUACUGGGAAGCUAGAGUAUGGGAGAGGAUGGUAGAAUUCCAGGUGUAGCGGUGAAAUGCGUAGAGAUCUGGAGGAAUACCGAUGGCGAAGGCAGCCAUCUGGCCUAAUACUGACGCUGAGGUACGAAAGCAUGGGGAGCAAACAGGAUUAGAUACCCGCGUAGUCCCUGUCUCUUAACC